CCUGCCGCCGCCGCCGCCUCGUCCCCACCGCUCCCAUCACCGCUGCGGCGACUACUGCAGCGCCCGCUGACCCGACCCGACGUUAUUCUCCCCCUUCGCAACCCGGCACAGCCUAGCCCACCUGCCCUGCCAGUGCGCACGCCCACCUCUCCGCCACAGAUGCUGAUUGGAGAACGCGUUCCGAACACGCCACGUCGGUUGGCUAACCCCAUUGCCUAUCAUGAAGGGGGCGGAGAGUCGGGCAGAAAGCGUCUCCGCCCCCCACCGGAGAAAUGCCGCUAUCUUCAGGUUUGCCUGAGAGAACGAGUUACCGGGAAAGGAGCAUCACAAUGACAGCGCGCAUGCGCGCGGGAAUUCUGGGCGUUGUAGUUCCAGCCACCGACGCAACUGUCCUCCUGUCCUGAGGCGACUACAGGUUGGCGCUCCGGGUUGUUGUCUGCCUCACCAGCUGACUUGGUUCUAGUAGCAUAGUUGUGACCCCAGGGUUUGUCUUUUAGGAAGGAAAUCGGUAAUGUUUUGAAUUUAUACACUGAGGACGUCGCGACGAAGAGCCCCCAUGGUGAGGCCCUGCCAUGCCUUAAGGGGUCCGUCCCCUUCGUCAGAACCAGAGCUGCCCUGGAUUUGGCCGGUUGGCGCGAUCCCCCGGAGCCGCCUAACGUGAAGUAAAUCACCGGAAAUGCCGCUGCCUCUUGACAUUCCUUAAAAAACAGCAGGCACCUCUCCUGUCUGUCAUGUCCAGAUCUUUGGAUAAAAAGCCGGACAAAAUGUACAUUAAAGGCAAUUGAUGAUGCAGCUCAUCUUGUCCUAUUCAAUCCUAAAGAAGUUGCCAAGUUGUCAAAUUGUUUUCUUUCCACUGAUUAAAACCGCAAGUUGCUGUUUCCAUUACUUUGUCUAAUAUAGUUCACUUCAGAGUAUUGGCCCAGCAAGUAAUUUAAAAAUGUUAGGGUUUCUGUAAAUAUUUUUCUUUAAAAUUAAAGGGAUUUAUGGAGGGAGGGAUGUUCAGGUUCAUUGAAAUUGAGCAUUGUUAUACCUGACAAUAUUUCAAGUAGCUACUGUCAAUUUGAAAAAAAUAAUUUCAUUCACUUAGCAGAUGUGGCCUGUCUUCCUCUUCAAGCUACCUAGAUAUGGUCUCUACUAUAAAAAAAAAAAACUAUAAUGGGGAGGGGUUUAAUAAAUUUACUCCAAGAACUACUAUUUUGUCCAUUUUAAAUGAGUCAGUGAGUAGGGCUGAAUUCUCCAAAUGAUGGAACAAUGAUUAUUCAUGUGAUUAUUAUUUUAUGACCAACUCUAACUGGCAAAUCCAUGAAGGAUAUGACAAUCAGAAGAAUAUGUGAGGAAGCAGUCCAGUAGCAGUACAUCAAGAAAGAGUUAAGAAAGAAAGAAAAGUGCAGAGGGAGGUGUUCUGUGAAGAGACUCUUGAGAAAAGGGCGAUAGUGUACCACAGGGUAAGACGCACAAGAAUGAAUAUACCUGUUGCCUUCAAGUCAACAGGACGGAGUAGAACUGCCCCAUAGAGUUUUCCAAGGCUGUAAUCUUUACAAAAGCAGACUGCCACAUCCUUCUCCUGCUGAAUGGCUGGUGGGUUCGAACUGCUGGUCCAAACCAGCCAAACCCUUAACCACUGCACCACCAAAAAAAAAAAAAAAAAAAACCAC